UUUUUUUUUAAAUAUCUGUUAGUUCAAGUUAAAAGACCAUACAUUUUCUAAAGGCGGGACCUAUAUCAGGUUAAAUUCAUCUCCUUUUAGAAA
rnacentral:sRNA from 1 species